rnacentral:rRNA from 1 species
UACGAAGGGGGCUAGCGUUGCUCGGAAUCACUGGGCGUAAAGCGCACGUAGGCGGAUUGUUAAGUCAGGGGUGAAAUCCUGGAGCUCAACUCCAGAACUGCCUUUGAUACUGGCGAUCUUGAGUCCGGGAGAGGUGAGUGGAACUCCGAGUGUAGAGGUGAAAUUCGUAGAUAUUCGGAAGAACACCAGUGGCGAAGGCGGCUCACUGGCCCGGUACUGACGCUGAGGUGCGAAAGCGUGGGGAGCAAACAGGG